AAGAGUUUAGUUAAAAAAUAACAUCAGCUUGUCAAGCUGAAAUUACUUUUUGAAGUAACUUUUA
rnacentral:tRNA from 1 species